UGCUGACUGUCUUGCUAACCUGACUGUCCU
rnacentral:piRNA from 1 species